AGGCUGGCUUCAAAUUGUGAUACUCAGAUCUCAAGCUCCGAGAAGUUAGGAUUACAAGCACGAGCCAACCAGCACCCAGUUUACAUAUACUUCUAAAUUUAUUUGAAGGAAACUCUU